AGCAGCCGCGGUAAUACGUAGGGUCCAAGCGUUAAUCGGAAUUACUGGGCGCAAAGCGUGCGCAGGCGGUUGUGCAAGACCGAUGUGAAAUCCCCGAGCUUAACUUGGGAAUUGCAUUGGUGACUGCACGGCUAGAGUGUGUCAGAGGGGGGUAGAAUUCCACGUGUAGCAGUGAAAUGCGUAGAGAUGUGGGGGAAUACCGAAGGCGAAGGCAGCCACCUGGGAUCACACAGACACUCAUGCACAAAAGCGUGGAAAAACAAAAG
rnacentral:rRNA from 1 species